AUUGAACGCUGGCGGCAGGCCUAACACAUGCAAGUCGAACGAGUGGCGGACGGGUGAGUAAUGUCUGGGACACUGCCUGAUGGCGGGGGAUACCUCCUGGAAACGGUAGCUAAUCCCGCAUACCAUCCGAUUUGCCCAGAUGGGAUUAGCUUGUGGGUGGGGUAACGGCUCACCACGGCGACGAGCCCUAGCUGGUCUGAGAGGGUGACCAGCCACACUGGAACUGAGACACGGUCCAGACGCCUACGGGAGGCAGCAGUGGGGAAUAUUGCACAAUGGGCGAAAGCCUGAUGCAGCCAUGCCGCGUGUAUGAAGAAGGCCUUCGGGUUGUAAAGUACUUUCAGCGGGGAGGCGGUACCCGAAGAAGAAGCACCGGCUAACUCCGUGCCAGCAGCCGCGGUAAUAC
rnacentral:rRNA from 1 species